UUUCCAUGAUGUGGAUAUUGUCUAAGCAACUCCUUAAAUCUCUCCUAAGAAUAAAAUAAAGAUUCAUAAUCUCUUUGUCUAAAUGAAGUUAUCUUAUUCCUCAUCUU